GUGAGGAAUAUUGGUCAAUGGGCGCAAGCCUGAACCAGCCAUCCCGCGUGAAGGAUGAAGGCCCUAUGGGUCGUAAACUUCUUUUAUACACCAAGAAAAAGCAGGACGAGUCCUGCCCCGACGGUAGUGUAUGAAUAAGCAUCGGCUAACUCCGUGCCAGCAGCCGCGGUAAUACGGAGGAUGCGAGCGUUAUCCGGAUUCAUUGGGUUUAAAGGGUGCGUAGGCGGCUUUUUAAGUCAGUGGUGAAAUCUUGCCGCUUAACGGUAAAAUUGCCAUUGAUACUGAUAAGCUUGAGUACAAUUGAGGUAAGCGGAAUGUGUAGUGUAGCGGUGAAAUGCUUAGAUAUUACACAGAACACCGAUUGCGAAGGCAGCUUACUAAACUGUCACUGACGCUGAUGCACGAAAGCGUGGGGAGCGAACAGG
rnacentral:rRNA from 1 species